UCUCCCACUCUCUGGAGGGAGCCUGAGGCGCCAGAGGAUGGGGUCAUUUUCCAUGCUGUGUGUCUGGGCGCUGAUGGUGGUCGUGAGUGUAGAGCCCACUGCACACUUACUGGAGCAAAGACCCCGGUGGGCCGUGGUCCGGCACAGAGGGGCUAGGACGCUGCACUGCCUCCUGAGGGAUUCGCAGUACCCCUGGAUGAGCUGGUUCCAACAGGAUGACCAGCAGCAGCUGAAGUUUUUGGUUAAUCUAAGAAGUCCUGGCGACAAGGAGGUCAUCUCCCUCCCUGGAGCAGACUACGUGGCCACGCGGGUCAGUGACACGGAAUUCAUAUUGCAAGUGGCUAAUGUGACCCAGGACAGAAGGCUGUACUGCACCUGCAGCAAGGACACACUGAGAAACCCUGCUUGA